UCUUGUGACCCUAAUCUUAUCAUACAUAAUUUACGCUCACUCAUUUUUUUCGUCCUCCCUCCUACACUCUAUUAUUAUUUUAUUUUUUUUACUCAUUUGAUUCCAUUCCAUAACAUUCACGGCAACCAAACACAACACAAUAGAGUUGUGAAAUGGUUAAAGAAGAUGAUGAAUAUGUUUUACAACCCUAAAUGUUGAAAUAAGGAAGCUAGCAACUUGAACAAUAUUCGGGGACUGUUUGAGUAAGUUUAGAAAAAGUACUUUUUGAUUAAAGUAAAGAAGCAUACUAGAAUUGAGAAUUAAAUUAAAACUUAUAAGUAAUUAAACUGUUUGAGAAGGGGUUAAAUCAAAUUUUGCUACUUUGAUAUCUGUUGCUUUGGAACAGAUCUGCACUCUCAGUAUCCGCAGAAACUUAAUCAGGUUUGAUCUUUUUAAUUGAGUGAUUAUAGCAGAAAUUUAUUAGUUCUUUUUGAUUUACAAGAUUCUGGUGAUUGAUAUGGCUUCAUGAUGUUUGAAUCUUUGUGUGAAUGGUUGAUAUUAUGCAUCCAAUGAUUAAAAAUCAGCCUAGACUAAUCUUUAUGUUUCUCUUCUUUUCUUCUUUUCUUUAUAAUUUUGGUUCAACAACUCUGUAUAAAAGCUACAUAUAUUGCAUCUCUCUCGCAUCAACACCCGUCGGACUAUUAUCCCGGAGUGAGUUCGGAUCUCCAGCCGGAAGAUCCGACCCGCAACCCUCCACCGUGGCUUCUUCAGCUCAAAAACAGCAAACUAAUCUUGUUUGUUUGUGGGUUUUGUUUGUUUGUUUAAUCCUUGUGUUUUGUUUGGUUUUGGUGUUUUGGCGAUUUUCGUGUUACAAAUGAGACGCUUCGUUGUUUGCUUCGCAUACGACGAGGCAACUUGACCGAUAGCACAGCGGUGGUGGCCGAUGGUGGCGGUGACGGCGGUUUCGAGACGAGAUCCGGUUUCAGAAAGGAAAGCGCUAAUCGUGCCAUAAUUGAGGCGUUAAUUGUGCCUAUUUAUUAAGAUUCUUGGAAGAAGACCGGUUUUCUUUUCGGACAUUAAAGUUUUAUUGUCUAAAUUUCCCCGGUCAUCUUGCAUGUCCGACGGUUAGAUAAUAAGAUUUCUUGAAUGAAAGAAUCAUCACGGUGAUCUGCCGAUUCUCGUUGAGAUUUA